UCUCAGAGGCCACCACGUGAAGGUAUGCUGGACAUUGGCUUGCACAGUGUCUCAACCAUGUAUUGCCAAUGUCAGCCUUCACACUGCUGCAUCCGUUUUGGCCUAGCUACACAUAUUUACUCCCCAUACUUAUAUCACACUUCAACCAUUCGAUCUCACACAUAGGAAUGGUGCAGCAAACACAUGCAGACAUACAACCGUCUUUUAUAAAAUAAAAUUUAUUUCAUACUAAAAAGAGAUCAGACGCAGCACACAGACACCCAGUGGAGGGUGAUAGUUAGCGCAUGCGCUGUAUUCCAAUUAUUGUAAAGGUAAACUUACUUGUAUCUGUCAUUUCUCGCUGCAUCGUUUCCUCGUUUGACCAGAGGAGAGACAAGUGAGAGUGAGUGACGUGUGAGAGGUAACAUUCUUUUAACGCUCGCCAUUUGUGGCCUGUUUCGUAAGAGAAACGACAUCGACGCUCGCGGAGAUGAUCGCAUAUCGUAACAGCGAUCGCUGUUUGUCUCGCUUGCCUUUCUACGUUGCGUAUUGACUGCAAACUUGUCUCCCUUCCUGUUGCUCUUUCCUAUCUGUUUGCAUUCUUCGUCUUGUGCGAUGCGCCGCGUCGAUCGGCGUGUCGGCUCGUCGUCGCGUCGUUUCGUUUCGUACUUUGUCAGUGUGACGGUUUGUGUUGCAGCUCGCAGAGUGAAUGCACAAUGGCAGAAUCGACGUCGGAAUCUCGUCGGACGAGCGAGCUUGCGUCGACGCACGACGCGUCGUCUGAUGCGAGCGGAAAGGUGUGUGUGUUCACUCGUUGAAACCUGCUCAUCAUCUCUACUUGUUUCAAGUGUGACAGCGUCGAGAGCAAAUACUUCACAUUGAACUCUUCAGCGUUCACUCUCUGUCAUAGAGUGCCGGCUCAUCAGCAGACAACAUGUACAAUGAACACGUGACUAUCUGUUUUGAAAGGAUGAAUGGAAGAUGGGUGAGGAGAAGCAAGGAGACGGAUGUCUACAGCAUGGGAGUCACCCUGGUGGAGCUGAAUGUUUACUGUUCGAUCACCUGCUAGGAUCCUCAUCAGAGAGAUGACCGAGUGCAUCAACUAUGACAGCAGAGACUGGUCACACUGGCAUGUGAUCAUAACUGAUGGCUGUGAUGUCGACUAAGGGAAAGAAACUGGCAACUUUGGGAUGAGGAUUUUCCUGUACAACAAGAGGAAAAAUGAAAGCUGGACAUUUGUGAGUGUGUGAGAAGGAUAUGUAGUGUUGGUAUGAGUACAUUAGCAAACUUUCCAACUGUGUCAUCACGUGUGACAAUAACUCUUCUAGCAUAUAGUCUCAUGCUUACUGCAUUACAUCCUUGUCAGUCAUUGGUAUAUAUCACAAUACAAGUACAGCAAUAAUUGUUAUACUCUAA